rnacentral:rRNA from 1 species
GCGGAGGGAUCAUUACCGAGUUUACAACUCCCAAACCCCUGUGAACAUACCAAUUGUUGCCUCGGCGGAUCAGCCCGCUCCCGGUAAAACGGGACGGCCCGCCAGAGGACCCCUAAACUCUGUUUCUAUAUGUAACUUCUGAGUAAAACCAUAAAUAAAUCAAAACUUUCAACAACGGAUCUCUUGGUUCUGGCAUCGAUGAAGAACGCAGCAAAAUGCGAUAAGUAAUGUGAAUUGCAGAAUUCAGUGAAUCAUCGAAUCUUUGAACGCACAUUGCGCCCGCCAGUAUUCUGGCGGGCAUGCCUGUUCGAGCGUCAUUUCAACCCUCAAGCCCCCGGGUUUGGUGUUGGGGAUCGGCGAGCCCUUGCGGCAAGCCGGCCCCGAAAUCUAGUGGCGGUCUCGCUGCAGCUUCCAUUGCGUAGUAGUAAAACCCUCGCAACUGGUACGCGGCGCGGCCAAGCCGUUAAACCCCCAACUUCUGAAUGUUGACCUCGGAUCAGGUAGGAAUACCCGCUGAACUUAAGCAUAUCAA